rnacentral:rRNA from 1 species
CAGUCGCCGCGGUAAUACGGAGGGAGCUAGCGUUGUUCGGAAUUACUGGGCGUAAAGCGCGCGUAGGCGGUUACUCAAGUCAGAGGUGAAAGCCCGGGGCUCAACCCCGGAACUGCCUUUGAAACUAGGUGACUAGAAUCUUGGAGAGGUCAGUGGAAUUCCGAGUGUAGAGGUGAAAUUCGUAGAUAUUCGGAAGAACACCAGUGGCGAAGGCGACUGACUGGACAAGUAUUGACGCUGAGGUGCAAAAGCGUGGGGAGCAAACAGGAUUAGAUACCCGAGUAGUCCCUGUCUCUUAUAC